GUAACACAGGUUUUCAUUCGAUCACCGAAGUUAAGCAACAUUGAACCUGGUUGGUACCUGGAUGGGUGACCACUUGGGAAUAUUAGGUUCUGUA